rnacentral:rRNA from 1 species
AGAGUUUGAUCCUGUUUGAUCCUGGCUCAGAUUGAACGCUGGCGGCAGGCCUAACACAUGCAAGUCGAGCGGUAACAGGAAGUAGCUUGCUACUUCGCUGACGAGCGGCGGACGGGUGAGUAAUGCCUGGGAAUAUGCCUUGAUGUGGGGGAUAACUAUUGGAAACGAUAGCUAAUACCGCAUAAUGCCUACGGGCCAAAGAGGGGGAUCUUCGGACCUCUCGCGUCAAGAUUAGCCCAGGUGGGAUUAGCUAGUUGGUGGGGUAAAGGCUCACCAAGGCGACGAUCCCUAGCUGGUCUGAGAGGAUGAUCAGCCACACUGGAACUGAGACACGGUCCAGACUCCUACGGGAGGCAGCAGUGGGGAAUAUUGCACAAUGGGGGAAACCCUGAUGCAGCCAUGCCGCGUGUAUGAAGAAGGCCUUCGGGUUGUAAAGUACUUUCAGCAGUGAGGAAGGUGGUAGUGUUAAUAGCACUAUCAUUUGACGUUAGCUGCAGAAGAAGCACCGGCUAACUCCGUGCCAGCAGCCGCGGUAAUAC